rnacentral:misc_RNA from 1 species
AAGUCGUAACAAGGUCUCCGUUGGUGAACCAGCGGAGGGAUCAUUACGAGAGUUGCAAGACUCCCACCCUAUGUUCAUCUACCUGAGGGAAUUGUGCUUCGGCAGACAGUCCUGUGGGACAGGGCCCUGGCCUCCUCCGGGAGGUGUCUGCCGGUAGCCCCAGUAUCAAAAUUCUGUCGUACUAGGUACAGUCUGAGUUAUAUAUCAAAUGAAUCAAAACUUUCAACAACGGAUCUCUUGGUUCUG